rnacentral:rRNA from 1 species
UACAGAGGGUGCGAGCGUUAAUCGGAAUUACUGGGCGUAAAGCGUGCGUAGACGGUUAUUUAAGUCGGGUGUGAAAGCCCCGGGCUCAACCUGGGAAUUGCAUUCGAGACUGAAUAGCUAGGGUACGGUAGAGGGAAGUGGAAUUUCCGGUGUAGCGGUGAAAUGCGUAGAUAUCGGAAAGGAACAUCAGUGGCGAAAGCGACUUCCUGGACCAGUACCGACGUUCAGGCACGAAAGCGUGGGGAGCAAACAGG